CUUUCAGUAGGGAAGAAGCCCCUUUUUGGGGUGACGGUACUUGCAGAAGAAGCGCCGGCUAACUACGUGCCAGCAGCCGCGGUAAUACGUAGGGCGCAAGCGUUAUCCGGAAUUAUUGGGCGUAAAGAGCUCGUAGGCGGUUUGUCGCGUCUGCCGUGAAAGUCCGAGGCUCAACCUCGGAUCUGCGGUGGGUACGGGCAGACUAGAGUGAUGUAGGGGAGACUGGAAUUCCUGGUGUAGCGGUGAAAUGCGCAGAUAUCAGGAGGAACACCGAUGGCGAAGGCAGGUCUCUGGGCAUUUACUGACGCUGAGGAGCGAAAGCAUGGGGAGCGAACAGGAUUAGAUACCCUGGUAGUCCAUGCCGUAAACGUUGGGCACUAGGUGUGGGGGACAUUCCACGUUUUCCGCGCCGUAGCUAACGCAUUAAGUGCCCCGCCUGGGGAGUACGGCCGCAAGGCUAAAACUCAAAGGAAUUGACGGGGGCCCGCACAAGCGGCGGAGCAUGCGGAUUAAUUCGAUGCAACGCGAAGAACCUUACCAAGGCUUGACAUGUUCCAGACCGGGCCAGAGAUGGUCUUUCCCCUUUUGGGGCUGGUUCACAGGUGGUGCAUGGUUGUCGU
rnacentral:rRNA from 1 species